CCCCUUGUGGUGUAGUUGGCUAUCACGUUCGGUUGUGAAUGAUGCAAAUUUAUUGAAUACCGAGAGGUCUCCGGCUUGAUUCCGGACAAGGAGC